GUCACCGCCGGACAGGGACGGUCUCGAGGGUUGGGGAGCCCGAUGACAGAUCGCUCCUCUGAGAUGGGGUCGGGUCAUAGGGAGCCUGGCAUCAUCGUUCCGGCGAAGGAG
rfam:Actinomyces sp. oral taxon 175 str. F0384 Contig96, whole genome shotgun sequence.